rnacentral:rRNA from 1 species
UACGUAGGGUGCAAGCGUUGUCCGGAAUUAUUGGGCGUAAAGAGCUCGUAGGCGGUUUGUCGCGUCUGCUGUGAAAACCUGAGGCUCAACCUCGGGCUUGCAGUGGGUACGGGCAGGCUAGAGUUCGGUAGGGGAGACUGGAAUUCCUGGUGUAGCGGUGAAAUGCGCAGAUAUCAGGAGGAACACCGAUGGCGAAGGCAGCUUGCUGGGCUACUCCUGACACUGAGGUACGAAAGCGUGGGGAGCGAACAGG